rnacentral:tRNA from 1 species
GGGGAUUUAGCUCAGUGGUAGAGCGCUUGCCUAGCAAGCGCAAGGCCCUGGGUUCGGUCCCCAGCUCCGGGGGGAAAAAAAAGAUCUGGGUUCAAUUCCCAGCUUCUCUU